CUCCGACACUUGAGCCAGCUGACGGAGAGCAUUCAACCCUUUGCUCUUUGUUCGCAGGACACCUGGACACCCAGUGCAGUUUCGGACGCCCGUCCGAUCCCUUUGCACCCGUCCGAGCUGUCCCACGGCGCCGACCGCUGUCCUGUCCCGACGCUGUCUCGUCCGAGAACAGCCGGAAGGCCGACCGCGUCCCGAGCCCCUCGAGAGACACACCAGUGUCCCUCGUACUGUCCCGGAUGCGGCUGAGCCGUCCGAAGCCGUACGGAGCAGCUUUGCCAGCUCCUUCCUGUCCGAGGGAAUCGGGCGCCGACGUGGCACACCGCAAGCGAGCGUUGGGACGAAGGCGUCCAAACGUCCGCCGCCAGAGACCAGCACGCCAUGGGCCCCGGCCGCGCCGAGAGCCGCCGCCGACCUGCAGGGAGCCGCCGGGUGUCCAGCAAGGACGUUUCCAGGGCAGCCAGCCGGCCUACCCAGGGAACACCGCUCCCAUUUGUUUAUUUUUUAAGAGACAGUAAACUAACAAUUUCGAGUCAGUGAAAUUUACCAUUUUGCCAGAAUUGUUGUGUUAAAUAAAGCCCGUUUGUAAGCUGA